rfam:Fomitiporia mediterranea MF3/22 unplaced genomic scaffold FOMMEscaffold_7, whole genome shotgun sequence.
GGCCAUAUAGUGUAGUGGUCAUCACUCGGGAUUUUGAUAAAAAGUAAUUCCCUUUUCCUUCCCGCAACCCAGGUUCGAACCCUGGUAUGGCCU